CAUAGUUCCAAGUUGCUUUUGUAAUGGUGGGAGAGAAAGAGGGGGCUUUAAAAUGCUAGGACCAGGAAACCAGCUGCUGGAGGGGACUGAUUAAGGUGUAGCACUUUCCUCCUUCCUUCCCUAAGAUGAGGCUAGAUAACCUUAAUGGAAUCUGGACCCGACCAGACUGAGAAAAUGGAUAGAAGAAAGGAUCAAAAACCAGGACCUGACAACAUGAUGUUUACAAGAAACAAACUGAAAAUGAGAGUGAAGGUGAGGAGCUGGAGCAGAAUAUACUAUACCGCAGCUGAUCCAGAAAAGGAAAAUGAAUGUUGGAGCCAGAUAAGAAACUAUAGGCUGCUUUCAAGAAGGUUACAAGAAAACUGCAUCUUGCAUUACUAAUCCUUUAUCUUCAUGUUAACAAAAAGAUUACUGACACAUUUUUGAAUGAAAGAAAAUAAAAUAGCAAAUGCAUCUUAGAAAAUGUUUAAC
ensembl:lncRNA uncharacterized LOC103098168